CUGGCAGUUCAAGCACCAUGAAGAGGGUCCAUUGAAUGCAGAUAACAAUUGCAGCGUGGGCUAGUUCAGGUAAGUAAAUCUUCCCUUCCCUUGCACCAAACCAGCCAUGCAGCAAAAUCACCAUCAGGUGUCCUUCAAAAUCAAAUGAAGACCCCAGAAGGUGACAUAGCUGCUUUGAAAUGAUUUACAAAUUUUCUACUUCGUAUUGAAAUCUCUUCUUCACUUUAAAUCUUUACAUAUAUAAUAUAACCAGCCAUCUAGCAACAUUACAAUGCAUGUACUAUGCAUCACAUAGAAAUUGUGAAUUUGGGCCAAGCACAUUCCUGGUUCCAAGGCUCCUAUUUUAGCACUGGGCCCUAGGUGGCUGCCUAUGGCCACCUUAUAGUUAAACCUGCUCUGGUGUGCAGUAAGAAAAUACUACUAAUUUAGGUAUUGUGACCUUCAUGAAGGCAACUGCAUUUCUAAAAAGUG